GGGGACGUAGCUCAACUGGGAGAGCGCCUGCCUUGCACGCAGGAGGUUGUCGGUUCGAUCCCGGUCGUCUCCAC
rnacentral:tRNA from 1 species